CCUAACCGCGCAAAGGUAGCACAAUCACUUGUUCCUUAAAUAGGGACCAGUAUCAACGGCAUCACGAGGGUCACACUGUCUCCCCCCUCCAAUCAGUGAAACUGAUCUUCCCGUGAAGAAGCGGGAAUAAAAUCAUAAGACGAGAAGACCCCAUGGAGCUUUAAACCCUCAUCAACUUAAUAUAAUAUCCCCCCAUAGUUAUAAGCCUUGCCUAACGGUUUUAGGUUGGGGCGACCACGGAGUAAAAACCAACCUCCAUGACGAAAUAGAACUUAAUCCUUAUCCAAGAGCCACCGCUCCAAGAAUUAGAACACUAACGCACAUGACCCGACAAUCGAUCAACGAACCAAGUUACCCUGGGGAUAACAGCGCAAUCUACUUCAAGAGCCCAUAUCGACAAGUAGGCUUACGACCUCGAUGUUGGAUCAGGGUAUCCUAGUGGUGCAGCCGCUACUAAUGGUUCGUUUGUUCAACGAUUAAAACCC
rnacentral:rRNA from 1 species